UGGGGAAUAUUGCACAAUGGGCGCAAGCCUGAUGCAGCCAUGCCGCGUGUAUGAAGAAGGCCUUCGGGUUGUAAAGUACUUUCAGCGGGGAGGAAGGGAGUAAAGUUAAUACCUUUGCUCAUUGACGUUACCUGCAGAAGAAGCACCGGCUAACUCCGUGCCAGCAGCCGCGGUAAUACGGAGGGUGCAAGCGUUAAUCGGAAUUACUGGGCGUAAAGCGCACGCAGGCGGUUUGUUAAGUCAGAUGUGAAAUCCCCGGGCUCAACCUGGGAACUGCAUCUGCUACUGGCAAGCUUGAGUCUCGUAGAGGGGGGUAGAAUUCCAGGUGUAGCGGUGAAAUGCGUAGAGAUCUGGAGGAAUACCGGUGGCGAAGGCGGCCCCCUGGACGAAGACUGACGCUCAGGUGCGAAAGCGUGGGGAGCAAACAGG
rnacentral:rRNA from 1 species